rnacentral:sRNA from 1 species
GCGAGACGCGCUGUCCGCCGGACGAAAGCGACCGAUAAACUGUCCGCGGAUCGUGCCGGGCGCAGCUCCCGGACGGUCCGCCAAAUGAUCAGCCAGCAGCCGCUGCAACCCCAGGGAG